GCUCUGAAGGCCAUCUCAAUUUAAUUUCAGGUCUUUUAUUAAGGAAUAUGAAGCAAAGAAUAUAAUUUUGUGUUACUCUGAGGCUUUUAUUUAUCAAAUCAUAUCUUCUAUCGGGUGAGUAGCGUUGUAUCAGAUUAAUAUUGCUCCAGAACUCUAACUUUUGGUGAUAAUAUUGCUCCAGAACACUAAUUUUGGUGAUACUAUUUUAGUUUGUGAAUUUAUAUGAAACUUUGGCAGUGGUUCAGUUAAGGUUAAACGGAGGCAAAUAAGAGGCAAAGAGCAAUCACUUAGUGUCGUUAGUUCAACAUGAUUGUUGUAACGAAGACGGUAAGAAUCUCGCUCCCUCAUUGGAAGAUCCGGCUUAUGUGAUUGUUUCAUGCUUUAUGUAGAUUUAUCCAACCAAAACUGCAAACUUUUGAAGGGGCUCUACAUCUACAUAGCAGUUGGCAAGGCCAAGGUUUAGAGGUUCUAUUUGUUCACAAAUACAAUAGUGGGAUGGUUCUUGGUUCAGUGCUGCCUUAUUUCAUCCUCCUAUUUAAUGUUGGUUGCAGUCAUGAUCUAUAUCCAC